GUACCCGAUGUUAACAAAAAAUGGGUAUCCGGUUCUAAAAAUACCCGCAAAUGCACACCCCUACUGGCAAGGUAACACCUUUUUCAGAAGUGUCAUGGGAUAAAGUCUAACACUGCAUGGAAAGAUGGCAGAGUUGUGAGGGCCAUUUCACUGAAAUAGUGCAAGACUUUCAAGCAAGUCUUGAUGUGGCGAGCGACGACGUUUCCAUCAGUAACCACAGGUAGGCCAACUUCGACGCUACGUAGACACACGGUCAGGACGACUGAUUUGCCUAAUAUGCUUCUUUCAGUUUUUAAUGUUCUUAGGUGUUGGUUGUUUUCCUUUUGCAUAUUGAGAACUUUACAUUAAAUUUAUGCAAUCACGACUUUCAUCAUGUACAUGUAGGCCAAGGCCCGUAGGCCAUGUAGGCCGAGGGUCAUUCAGCAUGUUCAGCUCACUUGAAGUUGCAGUCUGGCAGUUGCACUUUGCAGAUGGAUUGUACUUUUGGUUGGCAACAUUUUAUGUAUGGUUACAUGUAUUGACUGCUUUAUUUUUGUUUUUCUUAUUUUCACCAUGUUCACUGUCUGUCUAUUGCUUGUUUCAUGCCAACUAGGCCUACAGUCAUUGUUAGCCAACUUGACUGAUGACAAGUCCACCGUUAAGAAUGUCUCAUCAGCAACAACUUAAUCGCAAUUGCUUACGAAACAAAGUGUCAUUACACACAUUGUACAGUACAUGUACGUGGAGGUUUACACAAGCAGUGACAAACACUGUGCCUUUACACAUCCUGAUUGUUAGAUUGUCUUUAUGACAGGUGCCAGUUUUCACCAUGAGUGCUAUCAGCGGUUCACAGAUGUUCAAAGAAUCAAGUUUGCUGAGAAGAAACAACUUAGAGGUGUGCACAUAACCCACUUGUACAUGUUCAGUUCUGCAGGGCCAAACGAAGGAUGACAACCUACAUGUACCAACAGCUGAAAAACGUUUCCUACAUUCCGAAGGUGCAGGAGUGUCUGCCACUGACAGGAGACACAUGCUUCCCUGCAGAUGUAUCAUCCGUCGUUCUGAUCAGUGGAAGACAAACCCACUGUCCAGGAAGAGAAGACUGCAGCGGCUAGUGCAGUGUGAGACCAAGACAGGUGGUUUGCUCCUGGAGGUGGCGUAUCAUGAAGGAUGAAGCCUUGCUUGUCAACAUCCAUGGAGCUGAUUUAGUAGCUUUAGAGGCCUGUUAUUAUAAGCAGUGUUAUAAUAGGUACACACAAUUCCUUCGGGUAAGCAAGAAGUCGUCAAAAGUGUCUGUAGACAAGAAAUCCUAUAAGCUGUCUUUCAGUGAUUUUUGUAGAAAUAUUAUUGAGGCUCGUAUCCUGGAGAAGAAGGAUAUAUUUCGGUUGACGAAGUUGACGCAACUGUAUAUUAAAACAGUGCAAAGAGUGGAAGACAUUUCUUGUCCAAAAUAUCGAUCCUCCAACUUGAAGCGGCGGUUACAAAAUGCGUAUCCUCAACUGCAGUUCUUCAAGUCAAGCAGGAGUUGUUCUUACUGCGAUAUUGUCUUCACCCAAGAACUUGCUGUUGAGGAUAUUGUGGAGGAGAAGAAGCCUUUGGAACCGGAAAGUGCCAGCAGCUCAAGUGAAGCUUCAGAAUCAGAGGAAGAAAGGAGAAGACCACAUGUCCCUUUACCACCUCAUGAUGAAGUUGUUCCUCACAAAAGUUCUUUUUCAUGCGGCGAUGAGUCUCUGUAAUAGCUUUCAGUCAAGUUCGUCACUGGCUUCAUGGCCUCCCUCUGCAGAGGAUCUCAACUUGGAUGUAGCUUGAAAGAUUGUUUCAGUUGAAUUACAUAAUUUCCUGGCCUGGGUAACUGGAGCAGCUGAGGAGCCCACAGGUGAACAGGUACAACAACCAGCAGAUGUUCACAGGAAAAUGCUGAGCAUAGCACAAGAUGUGAUGUAUCUGUCUUCAAAAGGCCGAAAGCAGAUGCCAAAGCAGACUGCUCUUGCUAUGACGAUCCACCACCUCAGUGGCUCAGCACAGCUUAUUGAGAUUUUGAAUGGACUUGGGCACUGCACGCCUCAUUCCAUGGUACUGCAACAUGACUCAGCACUUGCCCGGCAGCAAAUUGACUGAGGGCCACAUCAACUUCCACCUAAUGUGCUUCCUGACACCUUUACGACAUUGGUUUGGGAUAAUAACGAUUUUGGGGAGGAAACAUUGACCGGGAAAUCAAUAACACAUAACAAAUGGUAUCGUCAUCCAGUGAAAUGAGGUCGGAACUGCCGCCAUUUCAGCAGAGAGCUCAACUUCCUCAAGCAAGAAGACAAGACAGAGGUCACUCCUGGCUCCCCUGGUUGAUAUCACUGAAUGUCAUGGCAAGAAAAAGAAAGGACCUCAGCCUUUUGGAGAAGAAAUUCCAACACAAGAAUCAAAGCAUUUGGAAGUAGAGAGAAUACAAGGAAAAUUGACAUGGCUUACAUCCUGUCCAAGAUCCCAGAAGUUGGAGGCCCUCUACUGCUAACCUGGACAGGUUUCAACUCCCUACUCCACAGCACUGACAUCCCUCCUCAGUCAAACAUAGGCUAUCAGCUAGUCAUCGAUGCCAGCCCAGCAGAAUACUCCACAGCAUUGUGGAGCAUUGUGAAACAGUCUUGUUUCAUCGUGUACAGAUAGCUGAUUGCCUUGGUUUGGAUGUGAUGCUCAUUGUCUUUGACCAGGCCAUAUAUGCCAAAGCCCAACAGUUUUGUUGGACCAAUUCUAUCUUUAUGCGGAGGCUGGUUAUCUGUCUUGGAGAAUUCCAUACAGCUAUGGCCUUCUUGGGAAAUGUUUCAGGGAUGCUGGUCUAGAAGAUGUAGCUGUGGAGUCAGAGCUGAUAGGUCUGGGGUCUGUCAACUCAAGUAUGAGCGGUCACCACUGCAGUCUAGUGUGUGAAUGCACAAGAUCAUCUUUGAGGCGUUGCACAGAUUGUACUGGCAGGCCUAUGAAGAGACGCUACCAGAGAAAGAAGUCAACCAGACUCUGAAGACCAUCCAGUCCCUUGCAAAUACACAUCCAUCAGGUGCGUUCAUGGAGCAAGUAUGUUCAGAUGAGUUUGACAACAUCCUUGCAGGGUAUGACAGAUGGGCGUCAGAGAACCAGUCGAAGCCAACAUUCACCAUGUGGUGUACUUACAUUUAUAUGGCACAAAUCUUGCUGCUUUUCAUCUGAGGUACCCAGGAGGGUAAUUGGCAGUUGCAUUUAUCCGCAGUCUGAUCGAUGAUACUGUGGAUGAUGGCUUUCGACAGGAUAAACUAUUCCAGAUAUUUGCCAAUCUGCUGGAUGGAGAUGAGCAAACUCUCAACCAAACACAAGUCAGUGUUCGAGCAUUUCAUAGGAGGAGAAUUUUCUGUUCAGUGACAGCAAGAGCAUGGUUUUGUUCAUUGCCUUGUGAUCAAACCAUAGAGCAAACUGCCAAUCGGGACUCAAAGACAAAAGGAGGACUCAUUGGGAUCACACUCCACAAAAGAGCUGUACAUUGAUGGAUUCUGUCUUCACACCAUAGAGCAAGAAUUGCAAGGCAGUGUGAAGAUAUGCCGGGGAAAGGUGACAUAUCAAGGCAAAGGAAGGAACUAGACAAAACAAAGAAAAUCAGAGACGAGAAAGACGUCAGUGCAGUGAUUGCCACAGUACAAUCAAUGAUUAACCCAUUCACUUCUGAGAGUGAAGCGUUGCUCCACAUAACAUCAGGAGUGGCAGCUGCAGCAGAAAUUAAAUCUGAUUUGCUCUCAGAAUACUAAAGGUGAAAUGGCAGAUAACACAUUCCUCAGUGUAAGAUUGCAGAAAGGUGCAGUAGACAUCUUCAGUGCCAUCAAGCCGUUGAAGUUGAAGACAUUUGCUGCUAUAGUUCAUAAACAAAACAAGCAAGGUGAAAGGGAAGGAAAUUGAACUGAAGAGUGAUAGGCACCUUUUCACUAGACUCCUGGUCUUUGGUCAAGUUUGGAAACUGGACCUGGAAGAUCUGAUGACUUACUCUCUUGGUUCCCACCCAUUUCCAUUGGCCUCCCAUGAUGGCUCUCUUCCGAAGCAUCCAAAAGCCAAACUGAUGCAUUACAUUGAAUCAUUGGCAGCAGAACCUUACAUCACAUCCAUACCUCAGGGAACUACAUGGAUAAUAGAUGGCAUGGCUAUGAUACAGCAGCUGAGAGUCAGAAGUCUGCCGGCUAAUUUUGGAUUGUUAGCUUAUCAAAUACUACAGAAGCUUGUCAAGUUGGCAGUGGAUAGUGGCUCAUCCUGCAUUCACUUUGUAACAGACCAGUAUCCUGAUGACAGUAUAAAAAAUGCUGAGAGAGGGUUAUGGGCACGUCAAGUGGGAAACUGUCAAUGACCAUUUAUGGUCGGCAUCAAAAAUCCCUGCUCAGUGGAAAAAAUUUCUGGCUCAUGGAGAAAACAAGGAAAGGCUCAUCGAGUUCCUCUUUGUGACAUGGUGUAAGUCCCCAGAGCUGUUCCGUCAUGUGCACGUGUACAUAACACAUGGUGAGACUUGUCAUGAAAUGCACACAAAUAUGACAGGAGAUAAAGUAGAUGCUGUUGAAAUCACUUCAUUGAAAUGUAACCAUGAAGAAGCUGACACACGGUUGUUGCUGCACAGCAAGCAUGCUGCUAACAGUACAGAAAAUGUCGCCAUAGCCAGCCCUGAUACCGAUGUAUUUAUUUUGGGGAUUGCCCAUGGCCACAGCAUUGAUGCCAAUCUCUUCUUCCAUACAGGCCAAACGCAGAAGCGCACUAUUGACUUAAUGAAGGUGCGCCGGUGCAUUGGGCAAAGGGUUUGUGAUUGGUUAAUAGGUUUGCACUGUUUUACUGGAUGUGAUUCAGUUAGUUCAUUCCAUGGAAAAGGAAAGGUUAAGGCCCUGAAAUUGAUCAUGCAAAGUGAUCAAAGAUGUGAUCCAUUCAUGGACUUGGGCAAAAGAGCAGAAGUGACUCCUUCCUCGGUUGACUCCCUGGAGGAGUUUGUUUGUUGUUUUUAUGGUGUGCCAACAUGUAAGAAGGUCAACACUGCUUGCUACAACUCCUUGUGUUUAUGCAGCAGAAACGCUGAGUCUGCCAUGCCCCCGAACAGAGACUCUGGUCAAACACAUUGAGCGCGCUAACUAUCAGUCUCUCAUCCAUAAGCGUAGCUUGGAACAGAUGCCUAAUAUUCCAUCCCCUAAUGGACAUGGGUGGAAGAUUGAGGAGGGCCGGUUGGUCAUUGACUGGAUGGAGCUCCCGGCGGCACCAGAUUCUGUCCUCGAGUUAAUGCACUGUAGCUGCAAAAAGUCAGGAUGUGAUGGGGUUAGGUGUUCUUGUAGGAAAAGUGGCAUUCUUUGCACUGAUGUGUGCAGAUGCACUAACUGUGUAAAUCGCAAGCAAGAUCCCUCCCAAGAUGAUGAAGAUGGUUGUGAUGGUGGCUCUGACACUGAUUCAGAUGACAAUUUGAGUGAUUUCACCAAUAGUGAAUAAAGUUAACGUUCUGAGUUUCGAAUACUACCGGUGCAACUCAACUCACUUCAAUGAAACUUUAUAAAUUUCUUUUCUUUACCUUUGCAUGCUUAUGUCAUAGUAGACCUUUUUUAAUUUUUGGAGAAGUUGUUUCAUUUAACCACUUUUGUUAAUCUGUUCUUUAGUUGUGCAAGCAACUUGUGGUGGAUGCUGCAUUCAUAGUUGCAUUCUAAUUUCACCUGUGCCGAAAGUAACAGGUCUUUUUCUGACAUGUACAUGUAUUUUAAUGACCCACACGCUAAAACGAAUGUACAGAGUAGAAUGUUUUGACUUAAUGGUAUAAUCAAAGUUUUCAAGAAACAUGUUCUUGGUUUCAAAAUAGUGAAACUUUUUGCCUGCUUUUAUGACCACUUAGGAAUAUUUAGCUUAGACGUGAUAGAAAUUGCAAGUUUAUCAGAAGUCUAGAAAGCGUCUGUUUCGAAAUGUGGAUGUUAUUGGGGAAAAAAUAACAAGGUUGUUUGUAAACCAAGUUCAGGGACAAACUAUAUUUCCUUCAGAGAUAAGUGCUUGGUCAGUGUUUCUUGGUCAUGUCCUGCGGUCAUUGCAUCAUCUUGUAAAAUAGAAAAUUUAGGUUUGACCCAUACUGUUGCAAGACGAGACACUUUUACCUGUAAAUGUGUACAUACAUGUUGUUUGUAACCACAAAAGUAAGCCUCAAUUCAUGGAGCGUUUCUACCAUCCAACCGCAAAAUUCAUUAUGAAAGAAAUGUAAAGUUUUAAUUUGCAGUAUUUGGCGUGAUGUAUUUUAAUACAUUCUUCAUUUAAAACAAUACACAACAAUGGGUAGAAAUACUACUUAAUAACCUUUAUCCAUUGUUAAUCAAAACCUUUCACAAACUGUAACAUUUUUCUUCAGCAAAAAUACUUUGCAGCCAGCAUAGCACAGAAUGUGUAUUUUUGGAAACAAAUGAACCAACUGUACUCUGCUGUACUGUACUGUGCUGGUAGUGUUCCUUCAAACGUGAGGUUAGUGGAAGGAUAAAUUUUUUUUGGAGAGAGCACAUGUUUGAUCACUAUCAUAUCCAUGCCCAUGGGUUAGCUUCAAGAAAAUACACUUUGUUGCAUGUACAUAUGUGUUUCUGUCUAUGAAGUUCCUAUGAAUGAAUUUCUGAUAGUUUUACAGUGCCAACUACGUAGGAAACAGUAAUUGAUGUAUGCAGUAUGUGACAUGUGCCACCCAUCCAGAUAAUUUUCUAAUAAUUUCAAUUGAUAAGGUUGUAUAGAAAUCAAUACAUAAAUGGAUGACAUGUGUUGAAGCCAUAAGAGCGUAUCUUUUAGCUGGAUUUAAUCCAAUGACUUGUCCAAAUGUUAUAAACAGACCCAGACCCGUGGAUGAAAGUAGCUGUCACUCAAGUAAUAUUUAGUUGUUUAACAAAUUACAAAUACAAUGUUACUUUACAUUUUGUAACUGCUUUAAAGUACCUGUAAACACAUUCUGAGAACCAUAAAUGUCAACCAACUGCUUUCCAUUCAAGCGUCUGCUUGAGAAAUGAUGGAAUAAAAUCAGUGUACUUUAA